rnacentral:lncRNA from 1 species
UGCUGUUACGGGCUUUUUAAAAGUCACAUCUUUUAUUUGAAAAGGAACCUGCAAAGAACUAAAAGAAAAAAAAUUAAAUUUGUGAUCUAUUUUUGUGAGUAUACGCCAAAGAAUUUUUACCCUUCCUUCCUCACUACUCUGCUUGGAUGCCUUCAUAGCAACGGGAGACAACAUCCGCGUGAUCCCAAAGGUAUGGAGAGAAGCUUAGUCGUAUAGAGAAAAUGCUCCUUGCUUUGAAGAUGUUGUUUGAAGGGCUGAUGGAGAAAUGUCCUGAAAAUAAAGAUAUUUUCAGGUUCAGAGAACAAAAGGGGGAAGCACACAGACCUGAGAAAGAAAGAGAUUCAAAGAACCUGAGGCUGGAGCCUACCUCUCCUGCUAACUGUGAAUGAAGACUGCAGUAUACUCUGGUACAAGUCCAUCUGCUCUUGAACUUCAUAAAUACCUUUUCAAAGGUCUAAUAGUGUUCUUCCUUUGAGGUUUCUAACACCAUUUUUGAAGCCUUGAAAGCGGUAUUAUUCAUGUGUUUCAGCUGAAGAGAGCUGAAUUAUCAAGGUAACAACUGAUUUGAGAAUGGCCACUUUUCUCCGAGAUGUGCUCAUGGAGGGACUUGGGGGAAGAUCCAGUGCUUACCAGGGAUUUCACUGAGCUUAACAAGCCCUGAAAUGUAGGA